rnacentral:rRNA from 1 species
UACGAAGGGGGCUAGCGUUGUUCGGAAUCACUGGGCGUAAAGGGCGCGUAGGCGGCUUUGUAAGUCGGGGGUGAAAGCCUGUGGCUCAACCACAGAAUUGCCUUCGAUACUGUAGGGCUUGAGACCGGAAGAGGUUAGUGGAACUGCGAGUGUAGAGGUGAAAUUCGUAGAUAUUCGCAAGAACACCAGUGGCGAAGGCGGCUAACUGGUCCGGUUCUGACGCUGAGGCGCGAAAGCGUGGGGAGCAAACAGG